AAGGGCACCACAAGAACGCGUGGAGCAUGUGGCUUAAUUUGACUCAACGCGGGAAAUCUUACCAGGUCCGGACAUAUUGAGGAUUGACAGGCGAUAGAUUAUUAUAUAUUUAUAUAAUAUUGCAUAAAAAUGAUAGUCCUUUCAUGAUUAUAUGAUAGGUGGUGCAUGGCCGUUCUUAGUUCGUGGAGUGAUUUGUCUGCUUAAUUGCGUUUCAGAUAUAUAAUUAUAUAAUGCAUUAUAUAGUAAUAUAUAAUUUAAUAUUGUGCUGCCUUAUAUUUAUAUAUAAGGAUUUUAAGUGAACAUAUUAAUAUUGUUUUGCUAUAUAUUUAUUAUAUAUUAAAAUGAAUGCAACGAACGUGACCGUAACCUUUUAUUGCUAUAAUUAAUGUUAAUUCAUUAUAAUAUAGCAUAAAAUUAAAGGGACCGCUGUCUAAAUUUUAGUGUUAAAAUAGAGUAAGAUUACGGCAAUAACAGGUCUGUGAUGCCCUCAGAUGUUCUGGGCUGCACACGUGCUACAAUAAUUACAUUAAUAAGUAUCUAUAUCAACUACACUUAAUAAGUGUUAAUAAACCUAUUUCGAAAGUAAAUGGGUAAUCAUUUAAAAAUCGUGAUUAUGGUAUAUCUAUAUUAUGUAUAUAGUAUUUUACUAUUACAUAAAUACCAUUAACUAAUUUAAGGUGGGGAUAGUGUAUUGUUAAUUAUUACACUUGGCCUUAACUAGGAAUGCCUUGUACUCUUCUUUGGUUUAACAUACCAAGAGGAAUACGUCCCUGCCCUUUGUACACACCGCCCGUCGCUCUUACCGAUGAAUUAUAUUAUAAAUCUAAGGGACAUACGUACUAUCAGUACAUUGAAACUCAUACUUACAUACAUAAUGUGAUUUAAAGGAAAGAGAAGUCGUAACAAGGCAUCGUAGGUGAACCU
rnacentral:rRNA from 1 species